rfam:Asian citrus Psyllid, Diaphorina citri - Florida Strain, whole genome shotgun sequence.
GCCUAGUUAGCUUAGUUGAUAGUGCGUCUGCCUUGUAAGCGCUAGGCCGCGGGUUCGAUUCCCGCCCGGGGC